GGCGAGGGUUACCUCAGGGCUGGAGAGGCUGUGGGCUGUGGAGCGGCGUCCCUGCGGUCAGGACAGUGGGCAGGUGGUUCCCCGCAGGCAGCCCGCGUAUCCCAACCUUGGCUGUGGUCAAGAAGAAGGGGAACGCUCACCUAUGCUCCCGUCUCAUGGCCCAGGACAGAGGUAGCCAGCCCAAGUGCCCAGAAAACAACGCGCCAUUUGAUUUCCUCGUGACUGGAUUUCACGGCUAGGGAGGAGUUCCCCUUCCUCUGAAACGGAUGUAUUUUAAAAGUUACGUAGUUUUCCUCAAGCAUUCUCCGCCUGACUUCUUAAUGCUUCCCCGUCACUAAGCAUCUUGAGGCGGGGGAAGGGCUUCAGUCCAGACCGAAUAGAAUACAUUCGAAUCCACGUAGUAACAUCACUGCAUUUUGACAUCAUUUGCGGAUGUUAACGUUCACUUCACGGUACUUGAAGCCAUCACAUCCUACAUAUUACUGAGAAGAUUGAGGCAUACAUGGUCAUGUUCCCUUGAAGAUAGAUGGAAGUUUGUUGGUG